rnacentral:rRNA from 1 species
UCCAGACUCCUACGGGAGGCAGCAGUGGGGAAUAUUGCACAAUGGGGGAAACCCUGAUGCAGCAACGCCGCGUGAGUGAAGAAGUCAUUCGUGAUGUAAAGCUCUAUCAGCAGGGAAGAAAAUGACGGUACCUGAGUAAGAAGCCCCGGCUAACUACGUGCCAGCAGCCGCGGUAAUACGUAGGAGGCGAGCGUUAUCCGGAAUGACUGGGCGUAAAGGGUGCGUAGGUGGUUUGACAAGUUGGUAGCGUAACUCCGAGGCUCAACCUCGGCACUACUACCAAAACUGUCGGACUUGAGUGCAGGAGGGGCAAUUGGAAUUCCUAGUGUAGCGGUGGAAUGCGCAGAUAUUAGGAGGAACACCGGUGGCGAAGGCGAAUUGCUGGACUGUAACUGACACUGAGGCACGAAAGCGUGGGGAGCAAACAGGAUUAGAUACCCCGGUA